UGCAUCUCCAUUAUGACCGACCCUAAGUAAAAUUCACCCGCAGGCUAGGGUCUGGCCACUGUCGCCGCAAGACAGGAGCUAUGGGCAGCCGCUGAGAGAGCAGUCGAGGCAGAGCAUCACACAGGACACCAUGCCUGGGGUCUAAGUUUGCCCAAGAGGCCCUGCUGUCUUGGUGCAGUUGACCCCAGGUAAUGGAGGUCAUGGAUGUGGCUGAAAAACAAGAAUUAGGAUGAAAAAGCCCACAUAGCUUUUAGCUCCUGGACUCACUGGCCUGUGAUCAUCAUCCUGGUCGCCGAAGGAGGAACACACGAGGCCAGAGUGGUGAGGGAUUACGAAUUUAUUUGAUCAUCCACACAUCAGGUGGCGGAGCCUGGAUGGCUCCAGUACCCAGUGAGGGGCGUCAGUGGCUUUUAAAGGACUUUUGGUGGGAUUUUUCUGGGCGGAGACUUCUUUAUGCAUACCCAGAGAGGAAAGAAUGGAAUGUGGUCACCCACAAGCGAAAAGUGGUCUUCAGCAAAGGGAAUAUCCAUAGUGAAAUGACCUGAAAAGCCAGUUCCUGGGGGAAGGGUAUCAACUCAAUUGUUCCAUCGAACCUAACACUUUCAUCACUCUUAAUCAGAGAAAGCCUUCUCCAAUGUAGAGAUUUAAUAAAUAUUUGUUUUCUUGCAGUUUUAA